UUAAGCGACUAAGCGUACACGGUGGAUGCCCUGGCAGUCAGAGGCGAUGAAGGACGUGCUAAUCUGCGAUAAGCGUCGGUGAGGUGAUAUGAACCGUUAUAACCGGCGAUUUCCGAAUGGGGAAACCCAGUGUGUUUCGACACACUAUCAUUAACUGAAUCCAUAGGUUAAUGAGGCGAACCGGGGGAACUGAAACAUCUAAGUACCCCGAGGAAAAGAAAUCAACCGAGAUUCCCCCAGUAGCGGCGAGCGAACGGGGAGGAGCCCAGAGCCUGAAUCAGUGUGUGUGUUAGUGGAAGCGUCUGGAAAGGCGCGCGAUACAGGGUGACAGCCCCGUACACAAAAAUGCACAUAUUGUGAGCUCGAUGAGUAGGGCGGGACACGUGGUAUCCUGUCUGAAUAUGGGGGGACCAUCCUCCAAGGCUAAAUACUCCUGACUGACCGAUAGUGAACCAGUACCGUGAGGGAAAGGCGAAAAGAACCCCGGCGAGGGGAGUGAAAAAGAACCUGAAACCGUGUACGUACAAGCAGUGGGAGCCUCUUAAUGGGGUGACUGCGUACCUUUUGUAUAAUGGGUCAGCGACUUAUAUUCUGUAGCAAGGUUAACCGAAUAGGGGAGCCGAAGGGAAACCGAGUCUUAACUGGGCGUUAAGUUGCAGGGUAUAGACCCGAAACCCGGUGAUCUAGCCAUGGGCAGGUUGAAGGUUGGGUAACACUAACUGGAGGACCGAACCGACUAAUGUUGAAAAAUUAGCGGAUGACUUGUGGCUGGGGGUGAAAGGCCAAUCAAACCGGGAGAUAGCUGGUUCUCCCCGAAAGCUAUUUAGGUAGCGCCUCGUGAAUUCAUCUCCGGGGGUAGAGCACUGUUUCGGCAAGGGGGUCAUCCCGACUUACCAACCCGAUGCAAACUGCGAAUACCGGAGAAUGUUAUCACGGGAGACACACGGCGGGUGCUAACGUCCGUCGUGAAGAGGGAAACAACCCAGACCGCCAGCUAAGGUCCCAAAGUCAUGGUUAAGUGGGAAACGAUGUGGGAAGGCCCAGACAGCCAGGAUGUUGGCUUAGAAGCAGCCAUCAUUUAAAGAAAGCGUAAUAGCUCACUGGUCGAGUCGGCCUGCGCGGAAGAUGUAACGGGGCUAAACCAUGCACCGAAGCUGCGGCAGCGACACUAUGUGUUGUUGGGUAGGGGAGCGUUCUGUAAGCCUGUGAAGGUGUACUGUGAGGUAUGCUGGAGGUAUCAGAAGUGCGAAUGCUGACAUAAGUAACGAUAAAGCGGGUGAAAAGCCCGCUCGCCGGAAGACCAAGGGUUCCUGUCCAACGUUAAUCGGGGCAGGGUGAGUCGACCCCUAAGGCGAGGCCGAAAGGCGUAGUCGAUGGGAAACAGGUUAAUAUUCCUGUACUUGGUGUUACUGCGAAGGGGGACGGAGAAGGCUAUGUUGGCCGGGCGACGGUUGUCCCGGUUUAAGCGUGUAGGCUGGUUUUCCAGGCAAAUCCGGAAAAUCAAGGCUGAGGCGUGAUGACGAGGCACUACGGUGCUGAAGCGACAAAUGCCCUGCUUCCAGGAAAAGCCUCUAAGCAUCAGGUAACAUCAAAUCGUACCCCAAACCGACACAGGUGGUCAGGUAGAGAAUACCAAGGCGCUUGAGAGAACUCGGGUGAAGGAACUAGGCAAAAUGGUGCCGUAACUUCGGGAGAAGGCACGCUGAUAUGUAGGUGAAGCGACUUGCUCGUGGAGCUGAAAUCAGUCGAAGAUACCAGCUGGCUGCAACUGUUUAUUAAAAACACAGCACUGUGCAAACACGAAAGUGGACGUAUACGGUGUGACGCCUGCCCGGUGCCGGAAGGUUAAUUGAUGGGGUUAGCGGUAACGCGAAGCUCUUGAUCGAAGCCCCGGUAAACGGCGGCCGUAACUAUAACGGUCCUAAGGUAGCGAAAUUCCUUGUCGGGUAAGUUCCGACCUGCACGAAUGGCGUAAUGAUGGCCAGGCUGUCUCCACCCGAGACUCAGUGAAAUUGAACUCGCUGUGAAGAUGCAGUGUACCCGCGGCAAGACGGAAAGACCCCGUGAACCUUUACUAUAGCUUGACACUGAACAUUGAGCCUUGAUGUGUAGGAUAGGUGGGAGGCUUUGAAGUGUGGACGCCAGUCUGCAUGGAGCCGACCUUGAAAUACCACCCUUUAAUGUUUGAUGUUCUAACGUGGGCCCCUUACCGGGGUUGCGGACAGUGUCUGGUGGGUAGUUUGACUGGGGCGGUCUCCUCCUAAAGAGUAACGGAGGAGCACGAAGGUUGGCUAAUCCUGGUCGGACAUCAGGAGGUUAGUGCAAUGGCAUAAGCCAGCUUGACUGCGAGCGUGACGGCGCGAGCAGGUGCGAAAGCAGGUCAUAGUGAUCCGGUGGUUCUGAAUGGAAGGGCCAUCGCUCAACGGAUAAAAGGUACUCCGGGGAUAACAGGCUGAUACCGCCCAAGAGUUCAUAUCGACGGCGGUGUUUGGCACCUCGAUGUCGGCUCAUCACAUCCUGGGGCUGAAGUAGGUCCCAAGGGUAUGGCUGUUCGCCAUUUAAAGUGGUACGCGAGCUGGGUUUAGAACGUCGUGAGACAGUUCGGUCCCUAUCUGCCGUGGGCGCUGGAGAACUGAGGGGGGCUGCUCCUAGUACGAGAGGACCGGAGUGGACGCAUCACUGGUGUUCGGGUUGUCAUGCCAAUGGCACUGCCCGGUAGCUAAAUGCGGAAGAGAUAAGUGCUGAAAGCAUCUAAGCACGAAACUUGCCCCGAGAUGAGUUCUCCCUGACUCCUUGAGAGUCCUGAAGGAACGUUGAAGACGACGACGUUGAUAGGCCGGGUGUGUAAGCGCAGCGAUGCGUUGAGCUAACCGGUACUAAUGAACCGUGAGGCUUAACCU
rnacentral:rRNA from 1 species